rfam:Bradyrhizobium sp. BR 10245 contig34, whole genome shotgun sequence.
UUCGUUCGUUUACGGUCGAUUAAGCUUUCGGGUUUAUGACUGGAACUGUCCUCGUUUGGACACCGAGUGGCUCCUGUCCACUCUGUUUGACGCCUCCCUGUUAUCAACUUUCAAAGCCGCCGGUCUCCGGCGGCUCUUUUUUG